CGGCGGUAGUCUAGCCUGGUUUAGGAUGGCGGCCUUCCACGAGCCGUUGAUCCCGGGUUCGAAUCCCGGCCGCCGCAU
rnacentral:tRNA from 1 species